rnacentral:rRNA from 1 species
CCUACGGGAGGCAGCAGUGGGGAAUAUUGGACAAUGGGCGAAAGCCUGAUCCAGCCAUGCCGCGUGAGUGAAGAAGGCCUUCGGGUUGUAAAGCACUUUCAGUGGGGAAGAAAGCCUUGGGGCUAAUACCCUCGAGGAAGGACAUCACCCACAGAAGAAGCAACGGCUAACUCCGUGCCAGCAGCCGCGGUAAUACGGAGGGUGCGAGCGUUAAUCGGAAUUACUGGGCGUAAAGCGCGCGUAGGCGGUCUGAUAAGCCGGUUGUGAAAGCCCCGGGCUCAACCUGGGAACGGCAUCCGGAACUGUCAGGCUAGAGUGCAGGAGAGGAAGGUAGAAUUCCCGGUGUAGAGGUGAAAUGCGUAGAGAUAGGGAGGAAUACCAGUGGCGAAGGCGGCCUUCUGGACUGACACUGACGCUGAGGUGCGAAAGCGUGGGUAGCAAACAGGAUUAGAUACCCCUGUAGUC